rnacentral:rRNA from 1 species
UAGAAUCAGUCAGAGGCAAGCAGAACUCUCGGUGUAGGGGUGAAAUCCGUUGAUAUCGAGGGGAAUACCAAAUGCGAAGGCAGCUUGCUGGGACUUGAUUGACGCUGAGGCACGAAAGCGUGGGUAGCGAAGCGGAUUAGAUACCCGCGUAGUCCACGCCCUAAACGCUGUCUGUUGGCUAUAGGGAGUAUCGACCCUCUCUGUGGCGAAGUUAACACGUUAAACAGACCGCCUGGGUAGUACGAUCGCAAGAUUAAAACUCAAAGGAAUAGACGGGGGCUCGCACAAGCGGUGGAUCAUGUGGCUUAAUUCGUAGCUAAGCGAAAAACCUUACCAAGGCUAGAAACUAUACUGCACGCUCCGGGAAACCGGAGAAGCCUUCGAGGGUGUAUAGCAGGUGAUGCAUGGCCGUCGUCAGUUCGUGGCUUGAGCUGUUCCCUUAAGUGGGGAAACGAACGCAACCCUCGUUGCCUGUUACAAGUGUCAGGCGAGACUGCUCCCUCACGGGAGAGGAAGGUGAGGAUGACGCCAGGUCAGCAUGUCCCUUGAUGCCUUGGGCUGCACACGUGAUACAAUGGGUGGUACAAUGGGACGCAAUACCGCAAGGUGGAGCAAAUCCCCAAAACCAUCCUCAAUUCGGAUUGGGGUCUGCAACUCGACCCCAUGAAGCUGGAAUCGCUAGUAAUCGUGGAUCAGCAUGCCACGGUGAAUACGUUCCCGGGCCUUGUACACACCGCCCGUCACACCAUGGGAG